rnacentral:rRNA from 1 species
AGAUUGAACGCUGGCAGCAUGCCUUACACAUGCAAGUCGAACGGCAGCACGGGAGCAAUCCUGGUGGCGAGUGGCGAACGGGUGAGUAAUACAUCGGAGCGUGCCCAGUAGUGGGGGGAUAACCCGGCGAAAGCCGGACUAAUACCGCAUACGACCUACGGGUGAAAGCAGGGGAUCGCAAGACCUUGCGCUAUUGGAGCGGCCGAUGUCAGAUUAGCUUGGUUGGCGGGGUAAAAGCCCACCAAGGCGACGAUCUGUAGCUGGUCUGAGAGGACGACCAGCCACACUGGGACUGAGACACGGCCCAGACUCCUACGGGAGGCAGCAGUGGGAAUUUUGGACAAUGGGCGCAAGCCUGAUCCAGCCAUGCCGCGUGCGGGAGAAGGCCUUCGGUUGUAAACGCUUUGUCGGGAAGAAAGCCAGUGGUAAUACCUGUGUUCUGACGUACCGAAAGAAUAGACACCGUACUAAC